rnacentral:misc_RNA from 1 species
GAUGAAGAACGCAGCGAAAUGCGAUAAGUAAUGUGAAUUGCAGAAUUCAGUGAAUCAUCGAAUCUUUGAACGCACAUUGCGCCCGCCAGUAUUCUGGCGGGCAUGCCUGUCUGAGCGUCAUUUCAACCCUCAAGCAACUUCUGCUUGGUGUUGGGGAUCGGCCGUCAAACGCCGCCCCCGAAAUCUAUUGGCGAUCUCGCUGUAGCUUCCUAUGCGUAGUAGUAACAUCUCGCAUCUGGAGAGCGGCGCGGUCAUGCCGUAAAACACCCGACUUCUCAGGUUGACCUCAGAUCAGGUAGGAAUACCCGCUGAACUUAAGCAUAUCAAUAAGCGGAGGA